rnacentral:rRNA from 1 species
GUCUAUGGCCAUGCUACCCUGAACACGCCGGAUCCCUUCUGAUCUCAGAAGCUAAGCAGGGUCGGGCCAGGUUAGUACUUGGAUGGGAGACCACCUGGGAGGACCAUGUGCUGUAGGUG